rnacentral:rRNA from 1 species
UGGGGAAUAUUGCACAAUGGGCGAAAGCCUGAUGCAGCAACGCCGCGUGAGUGAUGAAGGCCUUCGGGUUGUAAAGCUCUGUCUUUUGGGACGAUAAUGACGGUACCAAAGGAGGAAGCCACGGCUAACUACGUGCCAGCAGCCGCGGUAAUACGUAGGUGGCGAGCGUUGUCCGGAUUUACUGGGCGUAAAGGAUGCGUAGGCGGAUUUUUAAGUGAGAUGUGAAAUACCCGGGCUUAACUUGGGUGCUGCAUUUCAAACUGGAAGUCUAGAGUGCGGGAGAGGAGAGUGGAAUUCCUAGUGUAGCGGUGAAAUGCGUAGAGAUUAGGAAGAACACCAGUGGCGAAGGCGACUCUCUGGACCGUAACUGACGCUGAGGCAUGAAAGCGUGGGUAGCAAACAGGAUUAGAUACCCUGGUAGUCCACGCCGUAAACGAUGAGUACUAGGUGUAGGAGGUAUCGACCCCUUCUGUGCCGCAGUUAACACAAUAAGUACUCCGCCUGGGAAGUACGAUCGCAAGAUUAAAACUCAAAGGAAUGGACGG